UACGAAGGGGCUAGCGUUGCUCGGAAUCACUGGGCGUAAAGCGCACGUAGGCGGCUUCUUAAGUCAGGGGUGAAAUCCUGGAGCUCAACUCCAGAACUGCCUUUGAUACUGAGGAGCUUGAGUCCGGGAGAGGUGAGUGGAACUGCGAGUGUAGAGGUGAAAUUCGUAGAUAUUCGCAAGAACACCAGUGGCGAAGGCGGCUCACCUGGCCCGGUACUGACGCUGAGGUGCGAAAGCGUGGGAGCAAGCAGGAUAAGAUACCCGU
rnacentral:rRNA from 1 species